GAGCGCGUCGCCGAGCUGGGCAAGGCGCCGGAUUUUGAUUCCGGUGGUUCGAGUCCUGCCGCGCUUGCCA
rnacentral:tRNA from 1 species